GGGAAGUAAUUGUCCCCCUGUACUCAGCACUGGUGAGGCUGCACCUCCAGUACUGUGUCCAAUUUUGGGCCCCUCACUGUAAGAAAGACACUGAGGCCCUGGAGCGUGUCCAGAGAAGGGCAAUGAAGCUGGUGAGGGGUCUGGAGCACAGGCCUUAUGAGGAGUGGCUGAAGCAGCUGGGAUUGUUCAGUCUGGAGAAGAGGAGGCUCAGGGGAGACCUUAUUGCUCUCUCUAACUACCCAAAGGAAGGUUGUAGUGAGCUGGGGGCCGGCCUCUUCUCUUAUGUAACUAGUGAUAGGACUAGAGGGAAUGGCUUCAAGCUGCGCCAGGGAAGAUUCAGGCUGGACGUUAGGAAAUACUACUUCUCUGAAAGGGUGGUCAGGCACUGGAAUGGGCUGCCCAGAGAGGUGGUGGAGUCACCGACCCUGGUGGUGUUCAGAGAGCGUUUGGAUGUUGUAUUGAGGGACAUGGUUUAGCGGGAACCAUUGGUGUUCAAAGAGUGUUUGGAUGUUGUAUUGAGGGACAUGGCUUAGCGAGAACCAUUGAUGAAGGGCGAACGAAUGGUUGGACUGGAUGAUCCUGUGAGUCUUUUCCAACCUUAGCGAUUCUAUGAUUCUGUAAGAAUCUUAAUUGCAGCUUGCAU
ensembl:lncRNA